AUUCACUAGGACACAGACUAAGGAAACCAUCAGCCUAAAAACCCUCUUGGGAGGACAUAUAGAUCGUCGUUUGAAGACAGUCAGUGACUUAGCUGUUCAGACAUCUAGGGGACGUUCAUUCCACCACCUAGGUACCAAAACAGCAAAGAGUCUAGAUGAGUACCCUGAAACAUGGUGGAACCAGUCAAGCAGUGCUAGAAGAUCUGAGGGAGCGAUGUGUACUGUGAGGAGUGAUAAGAGCUGAGGUAAGAGGGUACAGGACCAUUUUUGGUUAUGUAGGCAAACAUCAGUGUUUUGAAUCCGAUGCAUGCAGCUACCCGAAGUUAGUGGAGGGAGUGCAGGAGUGGACCAAGUACUGAGCCUUGUGGGACACCAAUAGAGAGUCUGCGAGGAGAAGAUGUUGAUCCCUUUCAUGUUACCUGAUAUGAGCGACCUUCCAGUGGAAUCACAUUGACAACAGACAGAAGGACACAGACUAAGGAAACCAUCAGUCUAAAAACCCUCUUGGGAGGACAUAUAGAUCGUCGUUUGAAGACAGUCAGUGACUUAGCUGUUCGGACAUCUAGGGGAAGUUCAUUCCACCACCUAGGUGCCAAAACAGCAAAGAGUCUAAGAGGUAAGAGGGUACAGGACCAUUUCUGGUUUUGUAGGCAAGCAUCAGUGUAUUGAAUCCGAUGCAUGCAGCUACCGGAAGCUAGUGGAGGGAGCGCAGCAAUGGACCAAGUACUGAGCCUUGUGGGACACCAAUAGAGAGUCUGUGAGGAGCAGAUGUCGAUCCCUUUCAUGUUACCUGAUAUGAGCGACCUUCCAGGUAGGAAGCAAACCAUUCCCAUACUGCUCUACGUAUUCCAAGACUCCUGAGGGUGGAUAAGAGAGUCUUUUGGUUGUCUAUGUAAAAUGCUGAGGAAAGGUCAAGAAGGAUGAGGACAGAUGAGGACCUCUUUAGAGAAAUCCAGUCUGGUUCUGGCCCAGAGUCUUCAUCCAAUGCUUCAUACAGCUCUAACUGGAGACAAGCAGUGGGCAUCCUUGUAAAGUGCUGAUACAUUUCCCCAAACAACAUGGAAAUAUUUUCAUUUAAUUUUUAAUCUUUUACAUUGUCAUGCUAUCUAUCAGCAAAGAAUAUAUGGGUAAAAUGAGUAAGUGUGCUCAUUCAGCAUUAAUGCAUUCAGCCUGACUGCAUUCUUUACACAGAGACUUCACCAGACAGAUGUGUAUACAGUCAUAAAUCUCAUUAACAUUACACACACGCUUUGCACAACCCACACACACACACACACACACACACAACACACUCAAGCACUGAUGUUUAUUUAAUGCGUGUCAGUGUGGAGCACAUGCUUUCUUCUCAUUAUGAAAAUUCAGCAUGCUAAUCAAUGUACACACAAUAUGGUGUGUACCACACAUAAGUCACUGUACACAUAGGUGAGUUUUACUUUACAGGAGAAAUGGUCCGGUCUGCACACAUGGACCUUUGUAUGGUCAGUGGUAUGUUCCUCAGCCACCUGUUUUGUAAUCACAUGCUGAUUUUCAGGUGAAAAUUGCACACAUAAAUGAAAACAUUGCCAAUAGUUGUGAAAACUAGGGUAAUCUCUUGCAGACGUUUCAUUUUAUGAGAUUUUGUGUUUUUAUUUAAAUAAUUAAAUGUAAAUUGUGCAUCACAACAGGCUUAGGGGUGUGAUGCAAUGGGACUAUCUGUUUUUGUAUCUAAUCAAUAAUGUUUGUAUCUGUACCUGGAUUUAGAUUUAAACCUGAAGUGUCCCAAGGUUUAUUCUUUCCUUUUUCUGUUAUUAAUUUAGUAUAUUACUUUAUUUUUUGUCUACAUUCUUUGUAGUGGUUGAAUUUCUGUAAAUAUAAUCAAACUAGUAGCCAUUGCAACUUUCCUCUGUCCAGUCAGUUAUUAAAGAUGAACGAAUAAACAGACGAAUGUUAUGAAUUCAUCAAAGUUAGUAACCCUAACCCAAAUUGUUCAAGUCAAUUCAUGUGGGCUUUCUUUGUCUUGCAUGCUUCAUAUCUGAAUAAUUAAAUCCUGCCCA